rnacentral:rRNA from 1 species
UACGGAGGGUGCAAGCGUUGCUCGGAAUUAUUGGGCGUAAAGGGCAAGUAGGUGGUCUCAUUUGUCUGGGGUGAAAGCCUUGAGCUCAACUCAAGAAGUGCCUCAGAAACGGUGAGACUCGAGUCCUGGAGAGGGUCGUGGAAUACCCGGUGUAGCGGUGAAAUGCGUAGAGAUCGGGUGGAACACCAGAGGCGAAGGCGGCGACCUGGACAGGCACUGACACUCAACUGCGAAAGCGUGGGGAGCAAACAGG